GAUGAAGAACGCAGCGAAAUGCGAUAAGUAAUGUGAAUUGCAGAAUUCAGUGAAUCAUCGAAUCUUUGAACGCACCUUGCGCCCUUUGGCUAUUCCGAAGGGCAUGCCUGUUUGAGUAUCAUGAACACCUCAACUCUCAUGGUUUGCCAUGAUGAGCUUGGACUUUGGGGGUCUUGCCGGCCUAUGGGUCGGCUCCUCUCAAAUUAAUCAGCUUGCCAGUGUUUGGUGGCAUCACAGGUGUGAUAACUAUCUACGCUUGUGGUUUUCCAUCAGGUAACCUUCAGUGAUGGAGGUUCGCUGGGGCUCAUAAAUGACUCUCCUCAGUGAGGACAGCUUUUUUGAACGUUUGAUCUCAAAUCAGGUAGGACUACCCGCUGAACUUAAGCAUAUCAAUAAGCGGAGGA
rnacentral:misc_RNA from 1 species